rnacentral:rRNA from 1 species
AUAUUGGUGCGAGACCGAUAGCAUACAAGUACCGUGAGGGAAAGAUGAAAAGAACUUUGAAAAGAGAGUUAAAGAGUACCUGAAACUGCUAAAAGGGAACCGGAUCGUUUCCAGUGUCUAUAAUCCGUGGCAUAUUUCAUUGGUCGAGUGUGUGCGUUCGCGUGUUGUAGCAGCGGCUUUUUGGCUGCGCUCGUGCGUGUGAUGUGCAUGCUUGCUGAUGCCCUGUGCUGCGGUGGGACGUCAAUGUCAGUUCGUAUACUGCGGGAAAUGGCUGCCGAGGAGGUAGGGCUUACGCUUGCGUUUGUCUGUUAUACCUUGGUAGACGAGUCGUCGCGGUUGGGACUGAGGUGCCUACAACGUGCUUUUGAGUGGGUUUGUGUCUCCGUGUGCACCGUGUGCGGAUAGCUUGCUAUGCGCGUGUGGUUGUAUGUGGAUUGAUGCGAGCCUUAACUUGUUGCCGUUCGGGACAUUGACGAAAUGGAGCGAUCCGACCCGUCUUGAAACACGGACC